rnacentral:rRNA from 1 species
UACGUAGGGUGCGAGCGUUAAUCGGAAUUACUGGGCGUAAAGGGCGCGUAGGCGGCCUGUUAAGUCGAACGUGAAAUCCCCGGGCUCAACCCGGGAACUGCGUCCGAUACUGGCAGGCUUGAAUCCGGGAGAGGGAUGCGGAAUUCCAGGUGUAGCGGUGAAAUGCGUAGAUAUCGGGAGGAACACCAGUGGCGAAGGCGACUUCCUGGCCUGUUCUUGACGCUGAGGCGCGAAAGCUAGGGGAGCAAACGGG